GCUAUACAUGCAGUCGAGCGAGUGAAUUAACUGAUCCCUUCGGGGUGACGUUAAUGGAUCUAGCGGCGGACGGGUGAGUAACACGUGGGCAACCUGCCUGUAAGACUGGGAUAACUCGCGGAAACGUGAGCUAAUACCGGAUAACACUUCGAACCACAUGGUUUGAAGAUGAAAGGCGGCGCAAGCUGUCACUUACAGAUGGGCCCGCGGCGCAUUAGCUAGUUGGUGAGGUAACGGCUCACCAAGGCGACGAUGCGUAGCCGACCUGAGAGGGUGAUCGGCCACACUGGGACUGAGACACGGCCCAGACUCCUACGGGAGGCAGCAGUAGGGAAUCUUCCGCAAUGGACGAAAGUCUGACGGAGCAACGCCGCGUGAGUGAUGAAGGUUUUC
rnacentral:rRNA from 1 species